GCGGCUCUGUGACUCUCUUCUGUCAGUUGUGUUCAUAUGCUGGAGACUAUUGUGAUGAUUGGAUCCAUUCUGAGAGAAUUGAGCUGUUCUGGGUGAAUCAGGCUGGUGUUAAACUGACGAGAUCAGACUCCAGAUAUCAGAUAUUACUCUCAUCAGGUCACUGUAUCAUCACUCUGAAUACAACACUCCUGAAUGAAGAUCACAACAGAGAGUGGAGAUGCAAUGUUACUCAGAGAGAUAAAGUCAAGAGCUCAGUCACAUACACUGUCAAGAGUUCAGCUCAAGCUGAUUCAGCGACAGCAGUGACUCCAGUCCACAGCACACACUCUCAGGAUCCCUCGACUACAAACACACACGUAACUAAAGAUCCAGCAGAAACUGAAGUCUGUAGGACUCAUGGAUCAUUAUUCAGAGAGAUUUUGAUCAUUCUUAAGACUGCAGUGUUUGCUGCUCCUACUGUGAUUCUUCUUCAGAUCAUCUGUGCAAGAAGAGCUGGGAGGAAGGACUCGCAGCGCCCAAAGAAAAUAGAGAUUAAUACAAUAUCAAGAUAAAAAUACUCUGCAAAUAACAGGCCAGAUUACAGCAAGAUUUAUCUUCAUAUCAAUUAAUUUUACGGAUAUUUGCACACAGUUUUGAAGGAUCUUUUCCAGUGCUCCAUACUGUACUGAAUACAUAAAAUAUAAUAUGAAAUCCUUACUUAUGAAAAUUAAAUGAAUGAUUGUCUUUCCACCUACAUCACAUUCUGCAGCACACACGGCUUGGC